rnacentral:lncRNA from 1 species
UGGAGCGUGACAGCAGCGGGCCCUCUUAAGCAGUCAGUGGGCCCCUACUUAUGAAAAAUUCUAGAUCCGCGAAUGGAUACUACCACAGAGGUAAAACCAUGCACAUUUGGGUUAUUGUACACGAAAUGCAUGCUACAAUUCAUUUUUGUUGAUUUUAGACCCUUUGGAACUCUAUGUGGGCUAUUUCAGCAACUAGGCAAAAAAUCCCCAAACUUGAUACAUGGUCAGAUUCAGCAUGUCAACGAAUUCCAAAUAUCUAUAUUAAAGGACUUUUGUCUAUAAAUUUGGACCCCACAAAAUUGAAAAAGGGACCAAAAAUAUGAAAAAAAUGCAUGCAUCGGAUACUUUUGUUAUUGAAGGCAUGACUGUAACAAUAGGAUGAAUAUACAAAAAUAUCUUUUUCUGGGGUCUCAUUGGGGGGUUCUGAU